rnacentral:rRNA from 1 species
UGGGGAAUUUUGGACAAUGGGCGAAAGCCUGAUCCAGCAAUGCCGCGUGUGGGAAGAAGGCCUUCGGGUUGUAAACCACUUUUGUACGGAACGAAAAGGUCUGCCCUAAUACGGUGGGCCCAUGACGGUACCGUAAGAAUAAGCACCGGCUAACUACGUGCCAGCAGCCGCGGUAAUACGUAGGGUGCGAGCGUUAAUCGGAAUUACUGGGCGUAAAGCGUGCGCAGGCGGUUAUAUAAGACAGUUGUGAAAUCCCCGGGCUCAACCUGGGAAUUGCAUCUGUGACUGUAUAGCUAGAGUACGGUAGAGGGGGAUGGAAUUCCGCGUGUAGCAGUGAAAUGCGUAGAUAUGCGGAGGAACACCGAUGGCGAAGGCAAUCCCCUGGACCUGUACUGACGCUCAUGCACGAAAGCGUGGGGAGCAAACAGG